AGAUGUAUCCAGACACCAGGGUUGGGGCUAUUGUUAUCUGCAUUUUACCCAUGAGAAAACGGAAGCAAACAGAGGCUAAGCGAUUCCUCCAGAGUCACACAGUUGGCAUAUGUCUGAGAUUCGACUCCAGUUUUAUCCACUGUUAACCUGCUAAGCUAAGGAGAUGGAAAUGUCUUCCUAGGUUGCCAUUUGGAAAUAUAAGACUAGAACUUGGAAGAGAGGCUGUGAAAAACUGAAGAUGGUUAUUCCUUAUCUCAAAUCUGGCUUCGGACAUCUCUAAAAUGAGGAAAUUAUAUGGGCUCUGAGGUCCCUUUCAAUUCUAAAUCUGCAAUCUGGUGAUCUACCACUACAUUGUACUCUCUGUAAAAAUAGAGCACUUAUGGUUUUGUCUUUCCAAAUCCCCUUUAGUAACUUGCACAAAACAGUUGCUUAGAUGUAUUUAUUGAAUGACUAAACUAUAUAUAUAUAUAUUUUUUUUUUCUUCUGUCCCACAAAACAGAUGUAGAUUGAUCCUUAUUCAGGACAGUUUUCCCAGAUCUUAGAUGGAUUAAUUCACAUGCCCUUUAUGACUUUGAAUUGUGGAAAAGAAAUAUUUAGCAAAACUAAAAGAAUCUCUUCUGUUUAGUAGAAAGUUGUAUUGCUAAUGUGUGGAUAAAAAAAAUGACUUUUUCAGUCCACCCAUUUCCCUUAAGAACUAUGUCAACAGCCAUCACAAUUUUUGAAGGAAAAACUUAACAUGUAGUAGUUUAUCUUCUAAAUAAAAUAUUAUUCACUGUAUUUGGAGUCUAGAUU
rnacentral:lncRNA from 1 species